UCUCUCUCUCUCUCUCUCUCUCUCUCUCUCUCUCUCUCUCUCAAAAUGCAUAAAGGUUGGAUGAGACAUUCCAUUAGUUCUGGGCACUUGUGAGAAUGUGGACACAAUCUGGAGAUUCUGGACCCAUUUUUUAAAAUGUCAUAUUCAUGUGGCUUAUAUUUCCAUUGGGUGUAAGUAACUGGUGUUUUAAAAUCUGGACCUGAUCUGGACCCAUUUUUGUGGGCAGUUUGGUCAAAUGGGGUUUUCUGUACAAAUGGGGUCCAUGGUUCAGCGGUCCAAACUGUUUGUACAAUGCACGAGCUGAAAUUUGUACAGUGAUGGAUUUCUGUACAAAUGGGGUCCAUGGUUCAGCAAAUAUGUGUUCUAACUUUGUUUUCUCAUCAGGUCCACCAUAACUCUUUGAGUAACUUCUUUUAUAGAAGUAAUGAUGGUUCAUAUAGAUAAUCUCCUAAAGGUUGUCAAGAAUCAUAGAUGGCAAGAGCGAGGUUUUUGCAAAUUAUUGUGGACCAUUUCAUUAAUGAGCAUGUGAUUCCAGUGGCUGAUUCUUCUGAGGCAGAUUAUAGUUCCCAAGGAAAGGCUGGUUUGAAACAUGUUAUGAAAUUACAGCAUGAUUCUGGAUUUAAAGAAGGCAUAUAAUAAGGAAGGAUCAUUGUUACCUUACUGAGCUUUUAUAUAGGAGUAAGUAUUCUGAAAUGGGGUAGUGCUAUUUGUGCAAAAAUGCAAUUUUACAUGCAUAUAUAUACAAGAAUUUUCUGACCUGUCUAUAUUUCAUGAAGUGACUGAAAUUAUUUCAAAAAUCAAAAGAUUUGCUGAAUCAUUUACAAAUCUUUUGUCGAGAUAUGAUUGAUACAGAGAAUAGUCAUGCAAUCAAGGCAUGCACGGGAGCAAAAUCCAAACUUCCCAAAUAGUAGGAACCACUUUAGAUGAGGUAUGGGCGUUAAGCGCCAUAGGACAAAAUCUCAUGUGAUUGAGUGGGCACUAGCAUCAAAAUCAUUCCUCAUUUUUUGGAGUGCUGGCAGGUGUUGCAAAUCUUUUUGUUUUUAUACUAGUAAAUAUGUGGCUUUGGCCUUUUUGUAAUACAAUCAUCAAUGUU